GACAGGCUGGGUGCUGUGGCUCACGCCUGUAAUCCCAGCACUUUGGGAGGCCAAGGAUGCCUUCUGACUGAGAAAUUUCCCCAGGCCUGAACCUAGAGUCUCAAGUCCCAGAAAUGACAGGAUUCUCUUCCAAGGCAGGGAAAUCACUCUUAGGAAUAAAUGUCAGCCUAGUAUAUCUGGCCCUUCCAAGGAUCCACCCCUGAGGGAAAAGGUGUAGUGGUCCAGCGUCCUCCAUAGAUCCAAAAGCCAGUAGUCUCUGCAGAGAGGACUC
rnacentral:lncRNA from 1 species